UGCCCGAAGACUUCACCUUCGGCCAACUUCGGGACUUUGCUUUUAUUUUCAUAACAGCACGGCCAUGUUGGUGGAUAUCAAAAACACUUAUUAAUAAUAAUUGUGAGGUUAAGUGUUUAAUUCAUAGAAAGAAAGUGCAUAUUAAGUAAUAAUCUUAAGAUUAUUAUUCACUGUUAUAUUACAAGUAUUCGUUAUGUUCAGGAUCUUUCAACGCACUAAAUUAAAACAGCAAGCAUGAUGUACCUCGGAUCAAGUGAAAAACUUGGAUAUGCGAUACUGAACUUUAACUAACUUUCAGAUUUGCGUGUAAAUUAAGAGAUAUGUAUCAUCAUUUAGUUCAUAUUUUCUCUCUACAGGUUUUAAAGUUUAGCCUAGGUUGACGUAAUUUUUUUCGUAUCACGUGUCCAAAUUGAUCCCUUGGUUUUGUGGUACAAGAUGCUUGCUGUUUUAAUUUGUUACGUCGAAAGAGUAUGGACAUAACAAAUACUAGAACAUCACAAGACAAACAAAUUAUCUCAGGUGUUGUGAAAUAAUUUCUUUUGUAACUGUUUUACAUUCACAUAUAAAUUGUAAUAACACAAGUUAGUAUGCCCAUGUUCUUUCAAUGUACCAAAUCAAAACAUCAAGCAAAAUGUACCACAGGAACAAUGUAUACAAGAUCAUGCCUUCUGGAUCAAGGGAUUAAUCUGAAUAUGUUAUACGGAACUUUUACCAAUUUCACUUUCGGGACAAGUAUGUAAGGAAAUUAGAAAAUGAGCUGAAACAUUAAACUCCUUGGACACUCCAUAGAAAGGAAGAAUUAUUUUCUGUUUAAUGCUGGCAUGUGAAGACAUUAGAACAUUUUCUUGUAGAUUAAAUUCUUUGGACAUUCAAUGAAAAUGAUUUAUUUUGUGAAUUUUUGUUAUAAUAGUGCUUUUUUUUAUUUUACUUAGAAUUUUAUUUCAUUGCCAGUUAAUUGAUAGUAACUAAGAAAGUGAAAUAUUUUUUUUUUUUGGAGAAAUAAAGAGUAUUUUUUACAA